AAUACGGAGGGUGCAAGCGUUAAUCGGAAUUACUGGGCGUAAAGCGCACGCAGGCGGUCUGUCAAGUCGGAUGUGAAAUCCCCGGGCUCAACCUGGGAACUGCAUUCGAAACUGGCAGGCUAGAGUCUUGUAGAGGGGGGUAGAAUUCCAGGUGUAGCGGUGAAAUGCGUAGAGAUCUGGAGGAAUACCGGUGGCGAAGGCGGCCCCCUGGACAAAGACUGACGCUCAGGUGCGAAAGCGUGGGGAGCAAACAGGAUUAGAUACCCUGGUAGUCCACGCCGUAAACGAUGUCGACUUGGAGGUUGUGCCCUUGAGGCGUGGCUUCCGGAGCUAACGCGUUAAGUCGACCGCCUGGGGAGUACGGCCGCAAGGUUAAAACUCAAAUGAAUUGACGGGGGCCCGCACAAGCGGUGGAGCAUGUGGUUUAAUUCGAUGCAACGCGAAGAACCUUACCUACUCUUGACAUCCAGA
rnacentral:rRNA from 1 species